GAGAUGGUGGUGGUGUGACGGUACCAUCCUUGAGAAAGAGGCAGAGAUACUGAGGACCAGACAUGGCUGAGCAACUUUCUUCAACGUCUUGUACAUAGCCCAGGACAGUCUCAAUCCUUUUACCACAACCUCUGAGAACUGGAUCUGAAAGAGUCAUCUCUCCACCCUGCCUGAGCAUCCUGAGUCACCGCCAUGACUUUUCCAACGGAGCACUACCAACAUUCACCAUCUUUAUCUUAGGCUACGGACACUGCUCCCUCCUUCCGGAACACCCCCUCCUCUCUCCUUUCUCCACAAACCCAUUUCCACUUGGACCAUCUGGACAACUGAGCAUUGUUUGGAAGUCAACGAAGCCUUCCCUGAUGGCCCUCCAGCCACACCAUUGCAGGUCAUCCUCGUGGACCCAGCAUGCUUUGCUAAGUACAAGUGCAAGAUGGACAGAGUCAAUGGUGAAAAGUAACUGAGCCUCUGUGAAGGUGGAGCUACGUAGUUCCUUUCCCUCCUGGUGUGAAUCCAGCAGGCACACAUCCCUGGAACUGGAGGGGAUAAAGGCACAUCAACUCUUUUGGUUG